rnacentral:misc_RNA from 1 species
UCCGGUUUGUCACCGGCAGUCCCAUUAGAGUGCCCAACUUAAUGUGGCAACUAAUGGCAAGGGUUGCGCUCGUUGCGGGACUUAACCCAACAUCUCACGACACGAGCUGACGACAGCCAUGCAGCACCUGUGUCUAGGUUCCCUUUCGGGCACAGCCCCAUUUCUGGGGCCUCCAGGACAUGUCAAGGGUGGGUAAGGUUUUUCGCGUUGCAUCGAAUUAAUCCACAUAAUCCACCGCUUGUGCGGGUCCCCGUCAAUUCCUUUGAGUUUUAACCUUGCGGCCGUACUCCCCAGGCGGUCUACUUCACGCGUUAGCUGCGUUACCAAGUCAAUUAAGACCCGACAACUAGUAGACAUCGUUUAGGGCGUGGACUAC